CCUGGACAGGGAGGGUAGUGAUAGGACAGGGGAUAACAGCUUUAAACUAAAGGAGGGUAGAUUUAGAUUAGAUACAAGAAAGAAAUUCUUCACUCAGAGGGUGGUGAGGCACUGGGACAAGUUGCCCAGAGAAGCUGUGGAUGCCCCAUCCCUGGCAGUGCCCAAGGCCAGGCUGGGUGGAGCUUUGGACAGCUGGUCUGGUGGGAACUGCCCCGCCUAUCGCAGGGGGUUGGAACCAUAUGGUAUUUAAGGAAUUUGUGUUUCCAACCCCAAACCGUUCUGAGAUUCUAUGAAACACUAUCCUUUGUGGAUUACAUAUAAGAAAGAGAACUUUUUUAAAAAACUUUUUUCUUCCUUAAUUACAAUGUAUUGACACAGAUGUCAUAAUUGCUUUGACCAGCCUGAAAAUCCUUGCUUUUGCACCUGAAUUACUACUUGGGAGGAUAGGUUUUUAAACACCUCCAUCUCUAACUGAGCGACAAACACCACAAAUCCUUUUUUCUGUAUUUGUAACUGUUAAGAAUGGCAUCAGCAGCUGGAAUCCAUUUGCCAUAAACCCAAAUUUUUCUCUUAGAAAACAAACUUAUUUCUGCAGAAUUUUAGCAGAAUAAGUAUUUCAAAGUAAUGUACUUUUGCAAGUUGGGUAAAUUAACUAUAAGGGUUUUCAGAAUAAAUGGAAAAAUCAUAGACAAAGUUUUAAAUAUAACAAAUAAGCCUGCAUCAAAUGAGCACAACUUAAUUCUCUAUCACUUCAGUCUAAACUUCAUAGUUACUAACUCAUGAUGGUUUGUUGUAUUGUUCCUCCCCUCAGUAAACACUACCAAGUCCUGCAAGACUGAAUGUGUUCAGGUGCCUAGGCUACGGAAGGAGGAAUGUAUUAGAAGAGAGUGACAUAGUAAAAUCUUUGAAAAAUCGUGUUUUUCAAUCAUCAGUAUUCUGACAUCCGAAGAUUAUAGAUGCUUUGUCUCUGCUUUGGAGAUUAUAGUCUCUGCUUUGGGACUGAUCAACCAGGUAAGGAGAAAUUACCACUAGCAAAUGCACUUAGAUAUUUUCCAAAGUUUCAAAAUUCACUCAGUGUAAUUGUAGAUGUAGCCAGAUCUGCCAUUUCACAGGCAACAUUUUAAAGACAAUUUCUCAGUUAAAUACAUAAUAGAAGAACUCGCAAGAUAUCAAACUACAUAUUAAAUAAUGCUACACAGUGCACAUGAGAUUAUAUUUUUCUUGGUGAGAACAGAGUAAGGGUGAAAGAGAACACUCCUCUUGUCAGUGACCAAGCUGCUAUAGCCAAAGUAUAACACUUUUCUGUGAGC